GAAGUAACAUCACCAAAAAGUUUUUGGCCGAAAAAGUGAGUACUUAACGGAAAAUUUUCUGCAAUCUUUCUUCUUUCAUAUUGUCCCCAAUUACUUAUUCCAUCUUCAUCCAUCUUCACCCUCCAUGACAGGAAAAAUACAAAAAAAUUCAUCACCACCACAAUCACCAUCCGCCAUUGAGCAAAUCCAAAAAUAAUAAAUCUCCACUAUCACACCAUCACAUAACCACUAACACUUUCUUCUAUUUCCC
rnacentral:lncRNA from 1 species